rnacentral:rRNA from 1 species
GACGAACGCUGGCGGCGUGCUUAACACAUGCAAGUCGAACGGAAAGGCCCUGCUUUUGUGGGGUGCUCGAGUGGCGAACGGGUGAGUAACACGUGAGUAACCUGCCCUUGACUUUGGGAUAACUUCAGGAAACUGGGGCUAAUACCGGAUAGGAGCUCCUGCUGCAUGGUGGGGGUUGGAAAGUUUCGGCGGUUGGGGAUGGACUCGCGGCUUAUCAGCUUGUUGGUGGGGUAGUGGCUUACCAAGGCUUUGACGGGUAGCCGGCCUGAGAGGGUGACCGGCCACAUUGGGACUGAGAUACGGCCCAGCCUCGUACGGGAGGCAGCAGUGGGGAAUAUUGCCCAAUGGGCGGAAGCCUGAUGCAGCAACGCCGCGUGCGGGAUGCCGGCCUUCGGGUUGUAAACCGCUUUCGCAUGUGACGAAGCGUGAGUGACGGUAAUGGGUAAAGAAGCACCGGCUAACUACGUG